AUGACUCUGGUCUGCUUUGUUCUCUACCUGCAACAUGCUAGUCUUGGAAGCAGGAACACAAAUGGACUAAGACACCAGGUGCCAGCGCCUGCCUGUGCACUGCUGCUGCUCUUUCCCCUCACGGCCCAGCAUGAGAACUUCAGGAAAAACAGAUUGAAGAGCUGAAGGGACAAGAAGUUAGUCCUAAAGUAUAUUUCAUAAAGCAGGCCAUUGGGAACUCCUGUGGCACAAUUGGACUUAUACACGCAGUGGCCAAUAAUCAAGUUAAACUGGGAUUUGAGGACGGAUCAGUCCUGAAACAGUUUCUUUCUGAAACAGAGAAACUGUCCCCUGAAGACAGCAAAAUGCUUUGAAAAGAAUGAGGCCAUACAGGCAGCCCAUGAUGCCGUGGCACAGGAAGGCCAAUGUUGGGUAGAUGACAAAGUGAAUUUCCAUUUUAUUCUGUUUAACAACGUGGAUGGUCACCUCUAUGAACUUGAUGGACGAAUGCCUUUUCCAGUGAACUAUGGUGCCAGUUCAGAGGACACCCGGCUACAGGAUGCUGCCAAGGUCUGCAGAAAAUUCACCAAGCAUGAGCAAGGAGAGGUCCGCUUCUCUGCCGUGGCUUUCUGCAAGGCAGCCUAAUGCUCUGUGGGAGGGACUUUGCUUUUUUCCCCUCUUCCCUUCAAUGUGAAAAUAUAUACCUCCCAUGCUGUCUAAAAUGCUUUAGUACUUGUGAAACACAGCUGUCCUUCCAUUCUGCAGACAUGCCUUCCCCUCAGCCACACCCAAGCAUGAGCAGAGUUCACAGCUGUCCAUUGGGCCAGUGUGGUGUGAGCUUCAGAUGGCAAAGCAUUCUCCCCAGUAUAUGUCUU